rnacentral:tRNA from 1 species
GGAGGAGUGGCCGAGUGGCUUAAGGCGACGGUCUUGAAAAUCGUCAGGCGGGAAACUGCCUCGGGGGUUCGAAUCCCUCCUCCUCCG